UACGUGGGAGGCAAGCGUUACUCGUCAUUAAUGGGUCUAAAGGGUGCGUAGGCGGCCAUGUAAGUGAGGUGUGAAAUCCCUCGGCUCAACCGAGGAACUGCGCUUCAUACUGCAUGGCUUGAGGGAGACAGGGGUAAGCGGAACUGAUGGUGGAGCGGUGAAAUGCGUUGAUAUCAGCAGGAACACCGGUGGCGAAAGCGGCUUACUGGGUCUCUUCUGACGCUGAGGUACGAAAGCGAGGGUAGCGAACGGG
rnacentral:rRNA from 1 species